AGUGAACGCUGGCGGUAGGCCUAACACAUGCGAGUCGAACGGCAGCACAGAGGAGCUUGCUCCUUGGGUGGCGAGUGGCGGACGGGUGAGGAAUACAUCGGAAUCUACUCUGUCGUGGGGGAUAACGUAGGGAAACUUACGCUAAUACCGCAUACGACCUACGGGUGAAAGCAGGGGAUCUUCGGACCUUGCGCGAUUGAAUGAGCCGAUGUCGGAUUAGCUAGUUGGCGGGGUAAAGGCCCACCAAGGCGACGAUCCGUAGCUGGUCUGAGAGGAUAGUCAGCCACACUGGAACUGAGACACGGUCCAGACUCCUACGGGGGGCAGCAGUGGGGAAUAUUGGACAAUGGGCGCAAGCCUGAUCCAGCCAUACCGCGUGGGUGAAGAAGGCCUUCGGGUUGUAAAGCCCUUUUGUUGGGAAAGAAAUCCAUCUGGUUAAUACCCGGGUGGGAUGACGGUACCCAAAGAAUAAGCACCGGCUAACUUCGUGCCAGCAGCCGCCGUAA
rnacentral:rRNA from 1 species